rnacentral:tmRNA from 1 species
GGACUCGGUUGAGGUCUGCCAGCCGGGAACUUCAUGCCCGACCACCCCCUCCAUGCGGUACACUGCACGUGCUGUCGCAAACGACGAAAACUACGCCCUGGCCGCUUAAGGUCCAGGACUCACACUAGCCUGUUCAUGGGCUAGGUCGGGGCAACCCGGCAGUGAGUUAAUUUUCAUGAAAUCGUGCCGGUCCGGGUCGCUUGGGCGGGUGCUAAAUCCAAGGCGACUCGGCAAGAUCCAGCCUGUUCGGCGGGCGUGAUGGCGCUUAAAGCUUAAAAACACCGGACUAAGUAUGUAGAACUGCCUGUAGAGGGCUUGCGGACGGGGGUUCGAUCCCCCCCGGCUCCACCA